CAGCAGCCGCGGUAAUACGGAGGAUCCAAGCGUUAUCCGGAUUUAUUGGGUUUAAAGGGUACGUAGGCGGAGUUUUAAGUCAGUAGUGAAAUCCCAUCGCUCAACGAUGGAACUGCUAUUGAAACUGAUACUCUUGAAUAUAGUUGAAGUGGGCGGAAUACGGCAUGUAGCGGUGAAAUGCAUAGAUAUGCCGUGGAACACCGAUUGCGAAGGCAGCUCACUAAGCUAUUAUUGACGCUAAGGUACGAAAGCGUGGGUAGCGAACAGGAUUAGAUACCCUGGUAGUCCACGCCGUAAACGAUGAUUACUCGGUGCUAGCCGAUAUACUGUUAGUGCCUAAGCGAAAGUGAUAAGUAAUCCACCUGGGGAGUACGAUCGCAAGGUUGAAACUCAAAGGAAUUGACGGGGGCCCGCACAAGCGGUGGAGCAUGUGGUUUAAUUCGAUGAUACGCGAGGAACCUUACCUGGGCUUAAAUGCAUAAUGACAGGCUGAGAAAUCAUGUUUUUCUUCGGACAGAAUGCAAGGUGCUGCAUGGCCGUCGUCAGCUCGUGCUGUGAGGUGUCGGGUUAAGUCCCAU
rnacentral:rRNA from 1 species